AAUACGGUGCUCUAUCAGAACAGUUCUAUAGACAAGCAUGUAAGAAAAAAAUCUAUUUUUUUUCAAAUUAUGUGCAAAUUAUCUUCUUAGCGAUAGCACUUCAUUUCUCCGUGGAAAUGGCCACUUGGAUGCCAGGUAAUUGGUGCAGAAUUAAGGUGGUGCUAAUGGUAAAAGAAGUGAAGCACUAGAAAGUGAAAAUUAGAAGAAUGUAGACCUUAAUUGGAUUAGAGGAUAGGGGAGAAUGGAGGGAAAGAAAAGUUAUUUUUAUCCUAUGAAAUGUUCGCAGCUGGAAGAAUGGUAUUACCAUUCACAUUAAAUAAAAAGGGAAAGCAACAAUAAUUUGUAGGGACUGGAGAAUUCUACAGCCAAAUGAGAGGCCUAACAGGCAGGGGAAAAAGAGGCAAUUAAGUAAGAUGGCGUUUUGGGAGUCAGAGCAUAAAUAAUGAAGUCUUUAUAUUUGUUUCCUUUUUUUCUGAUGUUUUAUUAUUUUAUUAUUCUGCACCAAUUACCUGGUAUCCUAGUGGCCAUUUCCACGGAGAAAUGAAGCGUUACCACUAAGAAGAUAAUUUGCACAUAAUUUUAGAAGAAAUAGAUUUUUCUUACAUGCUUGUCUAUAGAAUUGUUUUGAUAGAGUACUGUAUUAGAAUUAGAAUAUCCUUCAUUAUUCUAAGUCUUCAAACUUAAUUCCAGCCUCACUUCCUUUUAGUUUGUAUGUUAAUGACUUGAAACCAGUUUUGGAUAAUUUAGAUGUAUAUACCCCUAUCAUGCAUAUAUACAGCAGUGAACACCCACAUACCCACCACCUAUUUUAACAGGUUUUAUUUUUCUAAUUACAAAGGUAAUGCAUGUUCUCUGUAAGAAAAAGAAAAGCACUAUAAGAGAAAAAAAAUCACUUGUCAACUCACCAUCUAGUAUGUAUAUUGUUAAAAACUUUAGACAAAAUAAAUAUGUUGGAGUUCAUCUAAGCAAAAAAUGAUUCAUGAAUCAAGAGCAUUUGGAGCCAGAAGAGGUUCUGAGAACUCUAAGUAGUAGCAUGAGCAGU
rnacentral:lncRNA from 10 species